UACGUAGGGUGCGAGCGUUAAUCGGAAUUACUGGGCGUAAAGCGUGCGCAGGCGGUCCGCAAAGUCUGAUGUGAAAGUCCCGGGCUCAACCUGGGAACUGCAUUGGAAACUAACGGGCUCGAGUGUGGCAGAGGGGGGUGGAAUUCCACGUGUAGCAGUGAAAUGCGUAGAGAUGUGGAGGAACACCGAUGGCGAAGGCAGCCCCCUGGGCUAACACUGACGCUCAUGCACGAAAGCGUGGGGAGCAAACAGG
rnacentral:rRNA from 1 species